GGCCUGCCCACUGAAAGUUUAAAUGGCCGCGGUAUUUUGACCGUGCAAAGGUAGCAUAAUAAUUAGUUUUUUAAUUGAAAGCUGGAAUGAAAGGUUGGAUGAGAAAAUAACUGUCUCUAUUUAGAUAAAUUAGAAUUUUAUUUUUAAGUAAAAAAGCUUAAAUAAUAAUAGAAGACGAGAAGACCCUAUAGAGUUUUAAUUUAGUUGGGGUGAUUGAAAAAUUUAAUUAACUUUUUUUGUAUAUAAACAUUAAUAUAUGAGUGUUUGAUCCUUUAUUUAAGAUUAAAAGAAAAAAUUACCUUAGGGAUAACAGCGUAAUUUUUUUAGAGAGUUCAAAUCGAAAAAAAAGAUUGCGACCUCGAUGUUGGAUUAAAAUUAAGUCUUGGUGUAGAAGCUAA
rnacentral:rRNA from 1 species